rnacentral:rRNA from 1 species
UGGGGAAUUUUGGACAAUGGGCGAAAGCCUGAUCCAGCAAUGCCGCGUGUGUGAAGAAGGCCUUCGGGUUGUAAAGCACUUUUGUCCGGAAAGAAAUCCUUGGCUCUAAUACAGUCGGGGGAUGACGGUACCGGAAGAAUAAGCACCGGCUAACUACGUGCCAGCAGCCGCGGUAAUACGUAGGGUGCAAGCGUUAAUCGGAAUUACUGGGCGUAAAGCGUGCGCAGGCGGUUUGCUAAGACCGAUGUGAAAUCCCCGGGCUCAACCUGGGAACUGCAUUGGUGACUGGCAGGCUAGAGUAUGGCAGAGGGGGGUAGAAUUCCACGUGUAGCAGUGAAAUGCGUAGAGAUGUGGAGGAAUACCGAUGGCGAAGGCAGCCCCCUGGGCCAAUACUGACGCUCAUGCACGAAAGCGUGGGGAGCAAACAGGAUUAGAUACCCUGGUAGUCCACGCCCUAAACGAUGUCAACUAGUUGUUGGGGAUUCAUUCCUUAGUAACGUAGCUAACGCGUGAAGUUGACCGCCUGGGGAGUACGGUCGCAAGAUUAAAACUUAAAGGAAUUGACGGGGUCAUAGCUGUUUCCU